rnacentral:rRNA from 1 species
CGAGCACGCGCGUGUGGCAUAUCAAUAAGCGGAGGAAAAGAAACUAACAAGGAUUCCCUUAGUAACGGCGAGUGAAGCGGGAAGAGCUCAAAUUUGAAAUCUUCAAGGGUUUCCCUUGACGAAUUGUAGUUUAAAGAAGUGUUUUCUGUUAGAGAGGUGGUAAAAGUUCUUUGGAAUAGGACAUCAUAGAGGGUGAGAAUCCCGUAUUUGAUCCAUUCUUUCUAACGUUGUGAUACACUUUCAAAGAGUCGGAUUGUUUGGGAAUGCAGUCCAAAAUGGGUGGUAAAUUUCAUCUAAAGCUAAAUAUUGGCGAGAGACCGAUAGCGAACAAGUACCGUGAGGGAAAGAUGAAAAGAACUUUGAAAAGAGAGUUAAACAGUACGUGAAAUUGUCAAAAGGGAAGCGUUUGACACCAGUGUUGUUUCUCCGAAAAUCAAUUACGAAUGUUUUAGUUUUUAAGGAGUUAUGACUUCAUCGGCUUGCUCCUUUCUUUACGAAACUUUCUUAAUGCACUUUUCGGUUAACAAGUCAACAUCAAUUUCUUUUGUUGUAAAAGGGUAUGAGGAAGGUGGCUUUCUUUUCGGAGAAAGUGUUUAUAGCCUUGUAGCCUCUGCAAUCGGAGAGAUUGAGGUCUGCAGCGUAGAUCCUUCGGGGUUAGAUACAUUUGUGCUAAGCUAUAGUUCUUUAUAGACAACUUGUUGACUAUAGUCUAGUCCUGUAGCUUACUCGCUUAUGCUAUUUUACCUACGCUUAGGAUGUUGAUGUGAUACUGCGAGCA